UAAGGGAAAGCAACUUUCCCCGAACCGA
rnacentral:sRNA from 1 species